GUAGGGGUGCAAGCGUUAAUCGGGAAUUACUGGGCGUAAAGCGUGCGCAGGGCGGUUUUGUAAGUCUGACGUGAAAUCCCCGGGGCUUAACCUGGGAAUUGCGUUGGAGACUGCAAGGCUGGAGUCUGGCAGAGGGGGGUAGAAUUCCACGUGUAGCAGUGAAAUGCGUAGAGAUGUGGAGGAACACCGAUGGCGAAGGCAGCCCCCUGGGUCAAGACUGACGCUCAUGCACGAAAGCGUGGGGAGCAAACAGGAUUAGAUACCCUGGUAGUCCACGCCCUAAACGAUGUCUACUAGUUGUCGGGUCUUAAUUGACUUGGUAACGCAGCUAACGCGUGAAGUAGACCGCCUGGGGAGUACGGUCGCAAGAUUA
rnacentral:rRNA from 1 species